GGAAACGGCUAAAUGUUGCUGCUGCCUGUCGUCCAUUGCCUGGGAGAGCGAGUUGGUUCAGGUAGGUGGCUCUUCCGCCAUUUUGCCGGAAGCAAAAUGGCGGAAAAAGAAAGGCGCCCGGGCCGGAAGAAAAGCGCUCGGCCCGGCUGUUUCGGCCCCGGGACACUCCGCCCUGCCUGGCCAGUCGGGGGACGGGUCGGUGGGGCCAGAAAUUGGCGCGGCCAAGAAAUUCUGAUCGAUCGGACGGCGGUGGCCUGGUCUAUCGAUCGAGUGACGGCGUCCGUCGACCCGAACUAAAACGGCCGAUGGUUUUCUAUUUGUCAGGUGAUCGCCUUCAUCUGCGGGCUGAUCGUGGUCCUCUUGAUGAUUUUAUGCCUGGC
rnacentral:lncRNA from 1 species